rnacentral:tRNA from 1 species
ACUAACUUUUCCGAAGGUUAGGAUCCACGCCUUCCAAGCGUGGGGUAAGGGUUCGACUCCCUUAGUAAGCA